rnacentral:rRNA from 2 species
GGGUAGGGGAGCGUUCUGUAAGCCUGUGAAGGUGUGUCGUGAGGCAUGCUGGAGGUAUCAGAAGUGCGAAUGCUGACAUAAGUAACGAUAAAGCGGGUGAAAAGCCCGCUCGCCGGAAGACCAAGGGUUCCUGUCCAACGUUAAUCGGGGCAGGGUGAGUCGACCCCUAAGGCGAGGCCGAAAGGCGUAGUCGAUGGGAAACGGGUUAAUAUUCCCGUACUUGGUGUUACUGCGAAGGGGGGACGGAGAAGGCUAUGUUGGCCGGGCGACGGUUGUCCCGGUUUAAGCGUGUAGGUGUGUGUUCCAGGUAAAUCCGGUUCACUUUAACACUGAGGCGUGACGACGAGGCACUACGGUGCUGAAGCAACAAAUGCCCUGCUUCCAGGAAAAGCCUCUAAGCAUCAGGUAACAUCAAAUCGUACCCCAAACCGACACAGGUGGUCAGGUAGAGAAUACCAAGGCGCUUGAGAGAACUCGGGUGAAGGAACUAGGCAAAAUGGUGCCGUAACUUCGGGAGAAGGCACGCUGACACGUAGGUGAAGUGAUUUACUCAUGGAGCUGAAGUCAGUCGAAGAUACCAGCUGGCUGCAACUGUUUAUUAAAAACACAGCACUGUGCAAACACGAAAGUGGACGUAUACGGUGUGACGCCUGCCCGGUGCCGGAAGGUUAAUUGAUGGGGUCAGCGCAAGCGAAGCUCCUGAUCGAAGCCCCGGUAAACGGCGGCCGUAACUAUAACGGUCCUAAGGUAGCGAAAUUCCUUGUCGGGUAAGUUCCGACCUGCACGAAUGGCGUAAUGAUGGCCAGGCUGUCUCCACCCGAGACUCAGUGAAAUUGAACUCGCUGUGAAGAUGCAGUGUACCCGCGGCAAGACGGAAAGACCCCGUGAACCUUUACUAUAGCUUGACACUGAACAUUGAGCCUUGAUGUGUAG